CCUACGGGUCGCAGCAGUGGGGAAUAUUGCACAAUGGGCGCAAGCCUGAUGCAGCCAUGCCGCGUGUAUGAAGAAGGCCUUCGGGUUGUAAAGUACUUUCAGCGGGGAGGAAGGUGUUGAGGUUAAUAACCUCAGCAAUUGAGGUUACCCGCAGAAGAAGCACCGGCUAACUCCGUGCCAGCAGCCGCAGUAAUACGGAGGGUGCAAGCGUUAAUCGGAAUUACUGGGCGUAAAGCGCACGCAGGCGGUCUGUCAAGUCGGAUGUGAAAUCCCCGGGCUCAACCUGGGAACUGCAUUCGAAACUGGCAGGCUAGAGUCUUGUAGAGGGGGGUAGAAUUCCAGGUGUAGCGGUGAAAUGCGUAGAGAUCUGGAGGAAUACCGGUGGCGAAGGCGGCCCCCUGGACAAAGACUGACGCUCAGGUGCGAUAGCGUGGGGAGCAAACAGGAUUAGAUACCCGUGUAGUC
rnacentral:rRNA from 1 species